AUGGCAGAAGCCAGCCACACCGCCAAACCAUCCUCUUUGGCUUCCACUGUCUCUGUUUCCAAGAAACACAAAUUUAAGAUUGUGGAAAGAAGAUGUGCCUGUUUGCACUCCAGAUGGGGCCUCAUGGACCUGCAACCUUGCUCCCAGCUCCUGGUGUGUAUCUGCAUUUACUCUGUUGGAAGGUGUAUAAGCCGUCGACUUGCUCAGCUGUUCGUUAAAAAUGAAAGAACUGCUUUAUUCCAGUCCAUUCCAGAAAAGAAGUUCCAGACAUGCUGGAGCAAUGGCAGCCUUGUCGGAAUAGGAGCAAGGAAAAAGAAAUUGAGCCAGCCCACCUACGUUCGGAUGGGCAGAACCAGCUUCAACCUUGUGCAAGUCACCCAAACCCCUGGAGCCUUCACUUCUUCAUUUGAAAAAAGGAUGAAAAGAAUACCUUUCUGGCUGCAUUGGUUUGAAGAUCAAAUAAAAUAAUAAAUGUGAAAGUGUAUUUUGAAAUGUC
rnacentral:lncRNA from 1 species